ensembl:snRNA U6 U6 spliceosomal RNA
GCUCACUACAGAAGCAGAUGCUCAAAUUGUAAAGAUACGGACUGACCAUGGCCCCUGCUCAAGCAUGACACACAAAUUUGUGAAGGGAUUCAUAUUUCU